UACGUAGGCAGCAAGCGUUGUUCGGAUUUACUGGGCGUAAAGGGUGCGUAGGCGGUUGUUUAAGUUUGGUGUGAAAUCUCCCGGCUCAACUGGGAGGGUGCGCCGAAUACUGAAUGACUAGAGUGUGGGGGAGGAAAGUGGAAUUCCUGGUGUAGCGGUGAAAUGCGUAGAUAUCAGGAGGAACACCGGUGGUGGAAACGGCUUUCUGGACCAUAACUGACGCUGAGGCACGAAAGCGUGGGUAGCAAACAGG
rnacentral:rRNA from 1 species